rnacentral:tRNA from 1 species
GCAGUGGUGAUUCAGUGGUAGAAUACCCACCUUCUCUAUUUUCUAUGCAGGAGACCCGAGUUUGAUUCCCAGCCAAUGCA